UAAUAUAAGAUAAGAAAUGACAGUAAAAGGGGCCAAUUUAACUGUUUCAAAAGUCAAAUUUUUCUACAUCAAUAUGUUCAGCAUGGUUUAAUACUAACAUUUACUAUGUUGAAUAUUUUUUAUCAAGUCAUAUCAGCAUGCAUAUUCACUACUAUGUGUCUAAAUGCAUUUCAUGCGAUAAGUCAUUUUCCAACGGACAAAAAUUGGAAAAAAAAAUAUAUGAAUGUGUUACCAGGACAGUGAAGAACGCUUGUACGGUGGUAGAAUAUGCAGAAAGUUGCCCGAACUCAGC
rnacentral:lncRNA from 1 species